rnacentral:rRNA from 1 species
GACGAACGCUGGCGGCGUGCUUAACACAUGCAAGUCGAACGGAAAGGCCCUGCUUGCAGGGUACUCGAGUGGCGAACGGGUGAGUAACACGUGGGUGAUCUGCCCUUCACUUCGGGAUAAGCCUGGGAAACUGGGUCUAAUACCGGAUAGGAGCCAUUUUUAGUGUGAUGGUUGGAAAGUUUUUUCGGUGUAGGAUGAGCUCGCGGCCUAUCAGCUUGUUGGUGGGGUAAUGGCCUACCAAGGCGGCGACGGGUAGCCGGCCUGAGAGGGUGGACGGCCACAUUGGGACUGAGAUGCGGCCCAGACUCCGACGGGAGGCAGCAGUGGGGAAUAUUGCACAAUGGGCGCCAGCCUGAUGCAGCGACGCCGCGUGGGGGAUGACGGCCUUCGGGUUGUAAACUCCUUUCGCUAGGGACGAAGCUUUUUGUGACGGUACCUAGAUAAGAAGCACCGGCUAACUACGUG